CUAGACAUUGACAUGUACUCAAAACAUCCUUGAACAUUCUCGGGAUAUCUGUGCUGUUAGAAAUAAAUUCAAAAAUUAUAAAAAAAGAUGUACACAGCGACCAAAACGGAUCAUAACUAAGCCUCCCCGAUACCAGUCAACAUCGUCAGAUGAACAACCCCAACAGAAGAGACGCUUUGCAGCAUCUGCUACAACUGGUACCAUCCAUGACGACAUUGGGGAGAUAACAAGAACUCUGGAAGAGGAAGAUUUUUAAUAUACAAACUUUUAAUAUACAAACACAUAUUCAACCUACACAACAUACACAAUCAUUCACAAACGUUGAUACUCCAUAUAAUACACAAACACGUACAUAUACACCUAACAUACAGACGUACACUCACACCCCAUCCAUACAAACAUGCACAAACAUAUUACCAACACAAACACAUUUUAUAUUAAAUAAAGAAAACGAACAAGUUUUCUACAGCAACAGUUUGCCUCAGUCGCGAACUCCACAACCAUUGCAGGAGAGAAGCUUCCAAUUUGGGCUAAGUGGUCAGGAUGGUGCAAUUUUCCCUACGCAGAAUACUCAGCAUGAUAAUUUAGAAAAAAGAUGCUGUAUGCAGAAAUAGUUAUUUUACAAAACCUCAGAAGUCAGAGUUCCAGAAGGAGAUGCGGAACUUCUUGCGCGUUAUGAAAGAUAGGAACCGAAUAAGAAUGAGUAGACGCCAACGCAAUCCCGCCCCACUGGACGUUGAGCAUUUGUGGGACGACGAGGAGAAAGAAGACAACGAUGAUUGACACACCAACAGCUUACAGCAAGCAGACUGUCCAGAGAUCCGUAGCUGCUUGGCUGUUGGAGAUUUCACAGUCAUUAGCGAUAAUUAAAAAGUUGGUUAGUAUUAGUUCGUAUAGUCUACAAACUAUU